rnacentral:snRNA from 1 species
CAUAUCAAUAAGCGGAGGAAAA